AAGUUCUGUGUUCAUUGUUUACUGCGUCUCAUUUUGCUGCACGGCAAGCGUUUUCGCGGCCAGUGUGCAGGAGCCAUAAGUGUAUAGAUAAGAUAUAGAAUAUGUUCUAGUGUAAGAUAAAAACUUUCCAAUAAUUCCAUCAGUACAAUUCUCUUCCUUUCGAUAUGAAAAUCGAGUGUAAAACGAGAAUUAACUGAAAGAGUAGGCAGAACGCAUAACACAAAACUAAUCUCUGGAAACAAGGGAAUAAUUUGUCAAAUGCAGAAUAAACAACUAUUCACUCAGCUGUUGUAAUCAUCUCUUUUAAAUAUGUUACUACUUUACACUACUGUUAGUACGAAUAAGAAACACAAAUAAGGAAGGCGUAAACAAGAAAUAUAAAAAUGAUACAAUAAUUAUAUUAGGAAAUGUCUGAAAUUGCGACUAAUGAUAAAGAGAUCACAAGCAAAAAAGGGAGCAACGUGGACAUGUUCAAAAAAAGUUUAAAAAAGUUUUCAAAGAAAAUUUAAAAUUAACUAAAAUAGAUGAAGUGAAAAAUGUUAUGAACUACAAUGGAAAAGCAGAGCAACAAAAAAUGACAGUCAUAUGAAAACUUUGUGAAAGAAACGAGCAAUCCAUUAAGGCCAAUAAAUUAUGAGAAGAUUGCAAUAAUA